rnacentral:rRNA from 1 species
CUGGCUCAGGAUGAACGCUAGCUACAGGCUUAACACAUGCAAGUCGAGGGGCAGCGCUGGGGUGCUGCAACCCCUGGCGGCGACCGGCGCACGGGUGAGUAACGCGUAUCCAACCUGCCCCCAACCGCCGCACAGCCCGCCGAAAGGCGGAUAAUUCGGCAUGAGGUCCGGCGACGGCAUCAUAUCCGGACGAAAGGUCAUCGACCGGUUGGGGAUGGGGAUGCGUCCGAUUAGGCGGCAGGCGGGGUGACGGCCCACCUGGCCAACGAUCGGUAGGGGUUCUGAGAGGAAGGCCCCCCACAUUGGAACUGAGACACGGUCCAAACUCCUACGGGAGGCAGCAGUGAGGAAUAUUGGUCAAUGGGCGCAGGCCUGAACCAGCCAAAGUAGCGUGUGGGACGACGGCCCUACGGGUUGUAAACCACUUUUUGCGCGGGGAUAACAAGCGGGACUGGUCCCGCCCUGCAGGUACCGCGCGAAUAAGGACCGGCUAAUUCCGUGCCAGCAGCUGC